rnacentral:tRNA from 1 species
GCCUGGGUGGCUCAGUCGGUUGAGCGUCCGACUUCGGCUCAGGUCAUGAUCUCACGGUUUGUGAGUUCGAGCCCCACAUCAGGCU